rnacentral:lncRNA from 1 species
AGUGAUCUGCCAGCCUCGGCCUCCCAAGGUGCGGGGAUUGCAGAUGGAGUCUCGUUCACUCAGUGCUCAAUGUUGCCCAGGCUGGAGUGCAGUGGCGUGAUCUCGGCUCACUACAACCUCCACCUCCCAGCCGCCUGCCUUGGCCUCCCAAAGGGCCGAGAUUGCAGCCUCUGCCCAGCCGCCACCCCGUCUGGGAAGUGAGGAGCGUCUCUGCCUGGCCGCCCAUCGUCUGGGAUGUGAGGAGCCCCUCUGCCCGGCUGCCCAGUCUGGGAAGUGAGGAGCACCUCUUCCCGGCCGCCAUCCCGCACCUCUUCCCGGCCGCCAUCCCGUCUGGGAAGUGAGGAGCGUCUCUGUCCUGCCGCCCAUCGUCUGAGAUGUGGGGAGCGCCUCUGCCCCGCCGCCCCGUCUGGGAUGUGAGGAGCGCCUCUGCCCAUCCGCGACCCUGUCUGGGAGUGGGUCUUUGGGAAGAGAUGUGUAAAGGAGAUGAGUCCUAGAAUUUGAGAGACUGAAGACGGACCUUGGGAAGAUAAUCCACCCCCCUCUGAAGUUUCACUUCCUAGGGGGCACCCACAGAGGAAGAGGGAAGCUCUCCUCCUCCUUCUAACAGCAACACAGCUGCAGGGAUGCAACAACUAAGCCCCUGCUUCCUGUUUCCUCUUUUAGACAUCUUGCCUGCCUCACCCUUGUCCUGGCCCUGCCUCUUCCUCUUCCUAACAUUCAAAUCUGACUCUAGUGUUGACUUUAUUCAGUCAUCCAUGUGUGAGACCCAACCUUUGCUAACAGGUGGCAACCUCUUUCAUGAAAUAUAAGGUGCCAUCAUUUGUAAAAUGCACCAUCAUGCUAUGUAUCACUAAGAAAGAAAUGCGUGUUGUCAAAUAAACUGUGAGAUGGCAUUGAUAGUAAGAUGCAUUUCGACUUCAGGGACGCUAAAAUGUGAACCAAUGUAGAAUUGAUGAAACACAAAUUCCACUCACUGAUUCCACCUCUUGUCCCCCCACCUCUUGUCCGCCAUCAUGUAUUUGAUGUUCAUCAGCUGCUUCUCUGGGACUGAGUCACCUCAGACCUCUAGUUUCCCCUCACUCUGAAAUUCCUGACUCCCUCUAGCUGUUGGCUAAAAAGAGAAGAAGAAAAGUAUUCCUGUUCUCAAUCCUCUCAGCCUUCUCCAUCCUAAAGAGCUGGUCUGGUGAAAACCUUGAAACCAGGGAAGGCUGGGUCCAAGGGGCCAAGGAGUCAAGGGGUGUGGGGGAAUAUUUGC